rnacentral:lncRNA from 1 species
AUGGGAUUAAGUGUGUUUCUAGCAACUUUGCACAGGAUGGUUCUAGACUGUGAUCUGGUUCAGGGUGAGGUUGAUGUGGGUGUAUUAUUGGCAUUGCCUAUUGAAGGUUUACACCUGAUUUUGGGGAACGGCUUGGCUGGUAGUAGAGUUUGGGCUGAUUCUCCGCCUUCACCAGUAGUCACAUUAUGUCCAUCUGAGUUUGUGUCGAAUAAGAGUUCUGGUGCAUUGCCGGAAGUUUCCCCAGCCUGUGUGGUUACACGUGCUAUGCACAAAUUACAGCUCAAUGGGUUAUCUGAAUCUAACAAUGUUAAUGGGCCUUUGGAGGUUCCGUCUCUGGCUGAGCUGCCAGGAGGUUCCGUCUCUGGCUUUUCACUGUCUUGUGGUGAGGUUGUUCAGGAGCAGUGCAAUGAUGUGUCUUUGAAGGAAAUAUUCAGAUGUGUUUUGCCAGCCUUGGAAAUUAGUAAUGUGGCCUCUGGCUACUUUUUGCAUAAGGAAUUGUUGUUCAGGAAAUGGGUUCCAGUGGGUGAGGAUGGUUUGAAAGAUGUUUUUUUCCAGGUAGUUGUACCAGCUAAGUUUCGUUGGUCUGCAUAUAUUAAGACCUGGCAUGUAUGCCAACUUACAGGUAAGCCAAAUCAGAGUAUUAAACCUGCGCCAUUGCAACCUAUUCCAGUGGUGAGAGAACCUUUUACACACCUUAUUGUUGACUGUGUCGGUCCAUUGCAUUGUGCUAAAUCUGGUUGCAAAUAUUUACUUACCGUUAUGUGUAAGAGCACAAGGUAUCCAGCUGCAUACCCUUUGAGGACCAUUAUGACUAAGUCAGUGGUUAGGGCCUUAACACAGUUCAUUUCCAUUUUUGGCAAUCCUAAGGUGAUCCAUAGUGACCAGGGUUCAAAUUUUACAGCUCACAUGUUUGGUCAAGUGUUGAAGCUGUUGCGCAUUAAACAAAAUAACUCUUCAACAUAUCAUGCGCAGAGCCAAGGUGCUUUAGAGAGGUUCCAUCAGACGCUUAAGUCUCUUUUGCGUGCAUGCUGUACGGAGUUAGAUAGAGACUGGGAAGAUGGACUCCCGUGGCUAAUGUUGGCUGUGCGAGGGGCUGUACAGGACAGUACAGGCUUUAGCCUGAAUGAACUGGUUUUUGGGCAUACAGUGAGGGGUCCUUUAGCUGUCUUAAAAAGCGAAGAAUUUGAUUGA